rnacentral:rRNA from 1 species
CCUACGGGAGGCAGCAGUGAGGAAUAUUGGUCAAUGGCCGAGAGGCUGAACCAGCCAAGUCGCGUGAGGGAAGACGGCCCUACGGGUUGUAAACCUCUUUUGUCGGGGAGCAAAGAGAGUCACGGGUGACUCAUUGCGAGUACCCGAAGAAAAAGCAUCGGCUAACACCGUGCCAGCAGCCGCGGUAAUACGGAGGAUGCGAGCGUUAUCCGGAUGUAUUGGGUUUAAAGGGUGCGCAGGCGGAAGAUCAAGUCAGCGGUAAAAUUGAGAGGCUCAACCUCUUCGAGCCGUUGAAACUGGUUUUCUUGAGUGAGCGAGAAGUAUGCGGAAUGCGUGGUGUAGCGGUGAAAUGCAUAGAUAUCACGCAGAACUCCGAUUGCGAAGGCAGCGUACCGGCGCCAGACUGACGCUGAGGCACGAAAGCGUGGGGAUCGAACAGGAUUAGAUACCCCAGUAGUC